rnacentral:rRNA from 1 species
CGGAUCGGAGUCUGNAACCCGACUCCGUGAAGCUGGAUUCGCUAGUAAUCGCGCAUCAGCCAUGGCGCGGUGAAUACGUUCCCGGGCCUUGUACACACCGCCCGUCACACCAUGGGAGUUGGGAGUGCCCAAAGCCGGUGAGGCAACCUUCGGGAGCCAGCCGUCUAAGGUGGGACAGAUGAUUGGGGUGAAGUCGUAACAAGGUAUC